UACGGAGGGUGCAAGCGUUGUCCGGAUUUAUUGGGUUUAAAGGGUGCGUAGGUGGUUUGAUAAGUCCGGGGUGAAAGCCCACAGCUCAACUGUGGAACUGCCCUGGAUACUGUCAGACUUGAGGGUAGACGAGGUUGGCGGAAUAGAAGGUGUAGCGGUGAAAUGCAUAGAUACCUCCUAGAACCCCGAUUGCGUAGGCAGCUGACUAGGCUACACCUGACACUGAGGCACGAAAGCGUGGGGAGCGAACAGG
rnacentral:rRNA from 1 species